rnacentral:rRNA from 1 species
AGUCGAACGGCAGCACGGGCUUCGGCCUGGUGGCGAGUGGCGAACGGGUGAGUAAUACAUCGGAACGUGCCCUGUAGUGGGGGAUAACUAGUCGAAAGAUUAGCUAAUACCGCAUACGACCUGAGGGUGAAAGCGGGGGACCGUAAGGCCUCGCGCUACAGGAGCGGCCGAUGUCUGAUUAGCUAGUUGGUGGGGUAAAAGCCUACCAAGGCGACGAUCAGUAGCUGGUCUGAGAGGACGAUCAGCCACACUGGGACUGAGACACGGCCCAGACUCCUACGGGAGGCAGCAGUGGGGAAUUUUGGACAAUGGGGGCAACCCUGAUCCAGCAAUGCCGCGUGUGUGAAGAAGGCCUUCGGGUUGUAAAGCACUUUUGUCCGGAAAGAAAUGGCUCUGGUUAAUACCCGGGGUCGAUGACGGUACCGGAAGAAUAAGCACCGGCUAACUACGUGCCAGCAGCCGCGGUAAUACGUAGGGUGCGAGCGUUAAUCGGAAUUACUGGGCGUAAAGCGUGCGCAGGCGGUUUUGUAAGACAGGCGUGAAAUCCCCGAGCUCAACUUGGGAAUGGCGCUUGUGACUGCAAGGCUAGAGUAUGUCAGAGGGGGGUAGAAUUCCACGUGUAGCAGUGAAAUGCGUAGAGAUGUGGAGGAAUACCGAUGGCGAAGGCAGCCCCCUGGGACGUCACUGACGCUCAUGCACGAAAGCGUGGGGAGCAAACAGGAUUAGAUACCCUGGUAGUCCACGCCCUAAACGAUGUCAACUAGUUGUUGGGGAUUCAUUUCUUCAGUAACGUAGCUAACGCGUGAAGUUGACCGCCUGGGGAGUACGGUCGCAAGAUUAAACUCAAAGGAAUUGACGGGGACCCGCACAAGCGGUGGAUGAUGUGGAUUAAUUCGAUGCAACGCGAAAAACCUUACCUACCCUUGACAUGCCACU